AACAAAAAAAGAAAACUUAAAAUCAGAUUUUAGAAGAAUUCAUGAACCCUAAUUCAUCUUCUAGUGAACCAUCGGAAAAACAAAAAUUCAUCAUCUUGCUCUCUUCAGCGGCAGCCUCGCCGGUGGUGGCUCGACCGCCGCGAUUCCUUCCUUUGCACCACCGUGUUCCAGCUUCAUUUUGAGCACGGGCCUCCUCCCUCGUUCCAGAUUCCUUCCUUUGAACCGCAAGUCCACCUCCGCCCCCAAACACAUCAUCCGCUGCAAGCCCUCUCCCUCGUCGCCGCAAGCCUCAUUUAUUGCACCUUCGCCACAAGCUCCUUUUGAUCUGACUAAAAUCACCUCCUCCGCCGUCGCAAGCACCUCCGCUGCAAGCCGUAAGUGUGUAUUUGGAGAUGAAGAGACUGCAGGAGUUAGAAGAAGUAGACUUAUUUUUUCUUGAAAUACCCUGUCAAUGAUUUUUCAUUCGUAUGGGCAGACCUUCAAUUGUGAGUGUCUUUCUCUUUCGUCUUCUGUAUUCUCCUUGUAGAGUCCCAAAUCUCAAGUAUAGUAGUAGUAGAUGUUGGAUCUGUUAUAUUAGUGCACUAGCUACAAGUUAGGAAUUCUGUUAGUUAUUUAAAUUAAACUGGUGUUUUUAGGAUGUGUUUAGCACGUUUUCUAAUUUAGUGGGUCAGUAGGAGUUAGUUGCAGUUUUCUCUGCUUUUCUGUUCCAGUAUUUUCUAUUGUUAGUUUGUAGGCUAUUUAAGCCAUGUCUUUGCAUUCAAUAAAGGGGUGUGAUUUUACAGUAGCAUACCUGUGCGUUCUUGUUUCUGUUUUAACAUUUGGUAUCAAGAGCUUUAGCAAGGGGGCCUGAUUGAGUGAUUAAACAGUGAAGUUUGAGGAGUGAAAACAAUAGUGUGAGAAAUGGCUGCUGAAUCAGGCAAUUUCACUACCCCAUGUGUUCCCAUAUUUGAUGGGGAUUAUGAUCAUUGGAGUUUGGUCAUGGAGAACCUGCUGCGUUCAAAAGAGUACUGGUGUGUAAUCCAAGAUUGGGUCUCUGGUGGAUGUUCAGAGCAGUGCUGAUCCUGAAGGGCUUCGCAUUUUCUACUAUCUUGUUCAGCAAUUGUCCUUUCUGAAAUCACUGUGUGAGUAUCACUAUAUGUGAUGCGGUAGUUGAUGGGAUCAACACAAAAGCAUUUCAGAAUGUCAUCUUCUACCUCAACUCAUGCAAAAGAUAUUCACUUUUACGAGUCAUAUAAUGCCAUCAGAUUAAAGAGACUUCUCCUGGAAGGGGUGGUUAUGUUAUAAACAUCUUGAUUGAAGUUUUCCAUCUUGAUUGAAGUUUCAAGAUUGAAAGUGCAAAGCUAAUGCGUGAAGAUAAUAUGUAGAAUAGGUUGAAUAUGAAUUAUCAAUUAUGUACUCUUACUGAAUAUGUACUAUUGAACUUCAGUAGUUGAACGAUGAUGUAACAAGUUUUGAUUGCAAUAAAACGAGACUUGAAUUUA